rnacentral:other from 1 species
GAUGCCCUACGGGGUUCGUUGCUUCUAAUGUUUUCAAUCGAUAUUGUAAAAACGGGAGCUUUCGUUCUUAAGGUGCUGUCGAGCCUGGUUAGACAGGAGGACAAAUUCCUUUAGACAGAGCACCCACCUGAGAGCAUCAGGUUGGAAAACGUUACGGUGACGGCCUUCGUGGGACUACA